GACGAACGCUGGCGGCGUGCUUAACACAUGCAAGUCGAACGGAAAGGCCCUGCUUUUGUGGGGUGCUCGAGUGGCGAACGGGUGAGUAACACGUGAGUAACCUGCCCUUGACUUUGGGAUAACUUCAGGAAACUGGGGCUAAUACCGGAUAGGAGCUCCUGCUGCAUGGUGGGGGUUGGAAAGUUUCGGCGGUUGGGGAUGGACUCGCGGCUUAUCAGCUUGUUGAUGGGGAAGUGGCUUACCAAGGCUUUGACGGGUAGCCGGCCUGAGAGGGUGACCGGCCACAUUGGGACUGAGAUACGGCCCAGACUCCUACGGGAGGCAGCAGUGGGGAAUAUUGCACAAUGGGCGGAAGCCUGAUGCAGCAACGCCGCGUGCGGGAUGACGGCCUUCGGGUUGUAAACCGCUUUCGCCUGUGACGAAGCGUGAGUGACGGUAAUGGGUAAAGAAGCACCGGCUAACUACGUG
rnacentral:rRNA from 1 species